GCAGGCGUGGUGGCGCAUGCCUGUAAUCCUAGCAGCUUGGGAGGCUGAGGCAGGAGGAUCGGGAGUUCAAAGCCAGCCUCAGCAAGUAGAGAGGCCCUAAGCAACUUAGUGAGACCCUGUCUCUA
rnacentral:sRNA from 1 species